rnacentral:tRNA from 1 species
GCCCGGAUAGCUCAGUCGGUAGAGCGUGAGGCUUUUAACCGACAAUUUCGGUCCGAAACCUUAAGGCC